GCUUGAGUGGCUCAGUCAGUUAAGUGUCUGACUUCAGCUCAGCUCAUGAUCUCAUGGUUGUGGGUUCGAGCCCCACAUCGGGCU
rnacentral:tRNA from 1 species